GCUCUCCCUCAGACACACUGGAGGGAAAGGUCAAACUAAAGGCGAGGGAGCAGAGAGACCGGAGGGAGCCGCUGCCGCCGCCGCGCGCCAUGACGGACGCGGCGGAGGCUGCUUUCUCAGUGCGGACGCCGCCGAUCCCCAGCUCUCGCCGCGCCCCCUGCCCCCCGCCCCUCGCGCGCCCCUCACCCUGGCGCUGGCGCGUCCCCGCGCCCUCUCCCCCGGCCGCUCCAGGCGCGCCUCGGGCUCGGGGCGCGGGGCGCUGGGAGCGGGAGGGUGGGGGCCGCGGCGGGCCGGCGGCCUCCUCGCCCGACCCCCGACCCCGGGCCAGUUGCAAGAAACUCUGCCCUCGGGACGAGGCGCCUUGCUUUUUGCCGGGGCCAGCGAAAGUGGCGGAUUUCACAGCAAAACUCGGGUGAAGCCAGGCUGGACCGGCCGGGAGUGAGAGAGGCCGGGAGCACCCGUCUGGAUGGGGACCAGAGAUGAACGAAUCCGCCUGUGUGUAGCACCAGGGCAUGAUGUGUGCACGUUGCUAUGCCAGUGUUUAAUGUUUGUUGCUUAUGGUUAUUUUAGGACUAAAUGAUAAAAAAGUUACUUGGGAGAGAGGGAACUGCUUGAUUUGACAUGAGUUCUUCACUUGUGCAUGCAGGAAAUACAUUAAUCCUGUACACACACAACUGAAUUUAUGUCCAGUGGACUUUACAAAUAAUAUACACAAAAUUCUAAAGCCCCGAAGCAAGGUGAUGUGUGUCUGAAGAGUUUCAGGUGUCAGGCUCCGUGUUCCGUGGGAACAAAAUAGGAGGACACCGAAGUACUUGAUAUGCCCAAGCAGUCAUCUUUUUGUAAUAAGCUUUGGAUACCAUCAAAGUGGAGUUUAGUUGUAACUGCCAGGGUUAAGUAAUCGCAUUGACCCGGUGCCACCCACCAGUUUGGAGCUUCUCUGAAAGUAAUUUACGAGACAGUCCUGUGCUGAUUGUGAAUAACCAGUGCUUUUGCUGAUUUUUUUCCUGUUUAAUUUUACACUGUCAUCAUGUAUGUGUAUGCUACCUGUUUACCAAACGUUAGAAUGAAUUAUCCAUAGUUAAACUCUCCACUAAAUCACUAAAUCAGGUACUAGCUGUGGCAUGUCUUUAAAAAUAUAUAUAUUUGAAUGUUACCUGGAAAUUACCGAUAUAAUGGUUUCAAGCUGAUAGGGAUUUUUUGAACUUAAGUCUAGCAUAAACAUUAUCCCAAGUGGAUGUGUUUUAAAAUUUAAAUCUCAUCUAAGAAAACUUCCUGGUUUGUGAAAGGUGCAGGAUUGUGAUGAUAGCUGAGGAAAUGCCAGAGAGAAUUUUUGGUAGAGAAUAAGAGAACAACCUGUGAAUUUGGUGUUAACCAGCAGUCUCGGCAUAUACUCACUUGCUCCUUACCUAAGCAUUUCUGAUAUGUG
rnacentral:lncRNA from 1 species